CAGUAAUUUUUUGUAAGAAUUAAUGAGAAUCUGCUUUCCUCAUUUCUCUGAAAAACUUUUAUCAACAACAACAAAGAAAAUCACACUCAAUUUCUCUCUCCUCACUAAACUCACUCAACCACCAGCUAUGGCAGUGGAAAGACUCACCGUGAGAGUCUCCACCAUCCUACCAUCCGCCACCGCACAAGGCAUCUUCGACUUCCUUGAAUCAAAAAUCAAAAAAGGUACAAUAUUUGCCAUUGAAAUCUUCACCGAAAAUAAGAAUCAAGGGUUUCGAAUUGUACCCGACCAUGGCGCCAUUGGACUUUCAAUUCUUGUACCUUUUCCGAUUUUUGAUUCAAGGAAGUGAAAGAUAUCUUGUGCGGUGACGGUUAGUGGGAUGUUGGAGACUCUCACGGUGAGUGAAAGUUUUAUAAAUCAUUUUGAUGAUAUUUUUGAGGCUUUUGGGUGUUACUUUGAUGAGCAGUCUCCUACUCUCCUGCUAUUCUUCUCAAGGCACAUCAUGCAUAUGUCACUUUGUGCAUAUAUGUACAAUUCAUGAUAUGUGUGAUAGAAGAAGUGAAUUUGUUUAUGGAAAUAGCAUGCAUAAGCAGCAAGCUUAUAGCCAUUAUUGGUGAGAAGGGCACAGAAGAAGACGUGACGGUUCUUUCCCCAUAGGUGAAUGCUCUACCUUCAAGUUCCGCAAACUUUGAUCAGUGAUCUCGCUUUGUAUUCAAUGUGAACGUAAUUUUGAUAGUGGUGCACGUAGAGGUAUGUGCACCACGGUCCACUAUCUAAAUUGCGGGUGAUCACACCAUAUCACCAAUAUCAUCAAAUUGAUGCAAUGGUUUGUUUGGUGAUUUUGAUUAUACCCUCUAGCUCAAAUGCAAUUAGUAAUUGCUAAUUGCAUUUAGUUGGUUUGAGUUGUAAGGCCAGCAGAAGCUGGGCUACACUGCGCCCGAGUGGUGGUGAAUCUAAGAGUUUGUCUGCGGAUGGGAGAUCAUUGUGUGCAAAAUCACUGCUUAAUUUUAUUCUGAUGAUAAUAUCAUGGUAAUUUUUGUAAAGAGAAACUACUCUUAGUAGUAUGGUUUAUGGAUUCUGUUUAAUUAUCCUUAAUUUGUUUUCACUAGGAUAUAUUUUUUUGGGUGUAAAUGAGCCACAAGGGUGGAGAUGAGAAUCGAUCCCAGGAUCACCUGGAACCGGGAUGGAAGCUCUAACCAACUGAGCUAUCCAUCACUCUCUUCACUAGGAUAUAUUUGCAUGAAUUUGUAACAAUCUUUGAAAGCCCGGAUGCUGAAUGGAGCUAGCUCUUUUGAAAAUAGAAUUGUAAAAAAGAAUGAAGAAAGCAUUACCAAGAAAAUAUAAGAUUGUAUUGAUAUUAUUUGAAUGAGUGAAACGAUAGACAAUAAUGGAUUACAAAUAAUGUUUAUUAAUUCAUACUAUAUAUAUAUAUAUAUAUAUAUA